GAGCUGUUUGGCUUCUCAGGACCCAUACUGUGGAUGGCAUAGCUCCAGGGGCUGUGUGGAUAUCAGGGGAUCUGGUGGGACUGAUGUGGAUCAGGCUGGGAACCAGGAAUCCAUGGAGCAUGGUGACUGCCAAGGUAAACAGAAGAGGCAGCUGCUGUUGCAGCCAAAGCUGCACAUGGCCAUGAUGGCCACAGACACCAUCCCAGGCUUGGCCUUUUGUCCUUCUCUCCUUCUGUGGCACAGUCACCCCAUCAGUUCUUCAUGAAGCUUCUCUUUCCCCCCAUCUUCACCCUGUCCCUUCUUCAUAGAUGGAGCUACUGGGAGUCAGUCUGGCCCUGGGGAUUCUGCUUAUGGUGAGUCCUCUUGUCCCAACCUCACCUUCCCUUGCUCAGCCCACAUACCUGAGUGUGUGUCCUGUAGCAG
rnacentral:ncRNA from 2 species